GAUGAACGCUGGCGGCGUGCCUAAUACAUGCAAGUCGAGCGAACGGACGAGAAGCUUGCUUCUCUGAUGUUAGCGGCGGACGGGUGAGUAACACGUGGAUAACCUACCUAUAAGACUGGGAUAACUUCGGGAAACCGGAGCAAAUACCGGAUAAUAUUUUGAACCGCAUGGUUCAAAAGUGAAAGACGGUCUUGCUGUCACUUAUAGAUGGAUCCGCGCUGCAUUAGCUAGUUGGUAAGGUAACGGCUUACCAAGGCAACGAUGCAUAGCCGACCUGAGAGGGUGAUCGGCCACACUGGAACUGAGACACGGUCCAGACUCCUACGGGAGGCAGCAGUAGGGAAUCUUCCGCAAUGGGCGAAAGCCUGACGGAGCAACGCCGCGUGAGUGAUGAAGGUCUUCGGAUCGUAAAACUCUGUUAUUAGGGAAGAACAUAUGUGUAAGUAACUGUGCACAUCUUGACGGUACCUAAUCAGAAAGCCACGGCUAACUACGUG
rnacentral:rRNA from 1 species